GAGAGAGUCUCGCUAGAAACGAAAACUGCUAAUUUUCGCAACCCUGGUUGGACCCCAGGGCUCACUCG
rnacentral:tRNA from 1 species